AGAACUCAAAAUGACCGAUCGGGUCGUUACACCACCCGACAUCUCCAUCGCCGAAAAUCUCCCUACGGCGGCGAACAGUCUCCAAACGACCCCAAAUCAUCACCACACAAUCCCUAGCCUCCACUAACCUGCCAUUAGUUUCCCCAAAAUCCCCACCAAACUCGUCAACUUUCAGAUCUAAAUCCAGAAAAAACUUAGUCCACCCCUCUUCGAUUUUUUCUCAAAAAUCCCGGUUUGUUUGGGCUUAAAACCAAUGCCAAUCGACCUCUGUUGUUGAAUGUUACAAGUUGGCUUGGUUGUGUCUCGUUUCAAGGUUGCCGUUCAACUCGCCACUGACUGGCCAGUUUUGUGGAAAGCCACCGUAAUUUUGGGUCAUUUUCCUCUUUGUUGGUUCAUGUUUGUCAUUGCUACUUGAAACACUGGCUACGCCCUUAAGCGUGAGUCAGUGUUUGUGUUGCGAUGCAGGACAUCGCCCAGAAUUUCUUUAUUUCCAGCAAUAGUGAUCUAUUGGAUACCCUUCUUACGCUCUACAAAAGGGAGAAAAAUCCCUGCAGAAGGACAGACUUCAAUUCUCUGAAAAUUCAGAAUUCCCAAUUCAUUUUUACACUGGUUCCCUGUAUUCCUCAAGCAUAUUCCUUCACUCAUUGUUUCAUUAGUUUCUGGGUGCUCUCUGGACUUUUGGAGUAGUUUCAAAGCUGUUUGUUUUGUGUUGUUUCUGAUGCUGCAUUUGCUCUUGUUGUUACUCCUUCCCAACUUCAGAGAUUUAUUUUCUUUUGCCUAAUUCUGCUGUAAACUGGUACUUUUCUCAAUCAAAUAGUCCAGUCUAUUUGCAGCACGGAAUUGUUGACUGCUUUGAUGCAUUUUAGUGUGAUAAAUUUGUUGGAAAAAUCAUCAAGUUGUGUCAGUUUGAUUAUUGUUUGGAAUGUAGUUCUUUGAGUUAUAAAUGGAAUAAAUUAUAUAUAUCAUGUUAGAGGGUGAUAUAAAGAUCUAUUUGCUUAUUAUUAAAUCGAAUGAAAUGAUUCAAGAUAUUAGAUUUGAUUGAAAAGCAUAUGGAGGGCAAGAUUAAUGUGAGUCUACUGUUUAGGAAACUGAUAAUUUAGAGUGUUGGAGAUGAUAGCUUUUCCUUUUUGUAAAUUUUCCACGCAUGUAUAUUGUUGAUGUAAUGAAUUCGUUCUUUUUUAGAAGAUUUAUUUAAAUAUUUCUGGUUCCCGAGCUGAAUGUGAAGAUGUGUAAAAAUUCUAAAUGGAAUUCUAGGAGCAUUUUGAGGUCA